rnacentral:rRNA from 1 species
UACGUAGGGGGCAAGCGUUGUCCGGAUUUAUUGGGCGUAAAGAGCGUGUAGGCGGUCUGGUAGGUCCGUUGUGAAAACUCGAGGCUCAACCUCGAGACGCCGAUGGAAACCAUCAGACUAGAGUCCGGAAGAGGAGAGUGGAAUUCCUGGUGUAGCGGUGAAAUGCGCAGAUAUCAGGAAGAACACCUAUGGCGAAGGCAGCUCUCUGGGACGGUACUGACGCUGAGACGCGAAAGCGUGGGGAGCGAACAGG